rnacentral:snRNA from 1 species
GGAUAUGAGGAUGAUCUGGCUGUGACAUCUGUCACCCCAUUGAUCAUUAGGGUUGAUUCAGUCUAUCUGCUGGGCUAGGUGGGUGUCCCCUUCAUCCCUCACUGCUCCAUGGGCUUCCCUCCUGAAGCUCAGUCAAAGGGGAUGAUAGAAGAGGACUGUUACCCCUGACACCUUAGGAGGACUGUUUCCUCUGACAAGGGUAGAUGAGUAGCUGCACUCCCCUGCUAGAACCUCCAAACAAGCUCUCAAGGAAUGAAAGAAAAUAUCCUUAAUUAGACAAAGGGGAUUUUAUUAUAACCAACAGGAAUCACUAUUAUAACUUUCCAGGAAACACUCAAAUGGAGUACUGAAUGUCUUU